AAGGUGUCAACGGUGAAAAUUUC
rnacentral:siRNA from 1 species